rnacentral:lncRNA from 1 species
GGUGAACACAAAGGAAAAAUUAGAGGUGACUCAUUCUAUUGAGUUAAAAAGCAAUGGAUUUUUGACUAAAACCUUUGCAGCAGUCAGAAGUAGAAGAGCAACAAAGGGACCAAAGGCAUUAGAACUGGCUGAGAAAGGAGGACAUCAACAAAAUAAACUCCUGCAAAUGGAAACGAUGUCUGAGAUCAACUCUGUCCAGAAACAUGAGGCUAAUUUUCACCCUUCCAUCUGCAGCAUAUGA